CAGUCCACUCCCUGUGGUGCUCUUGCUGAUUUCAUUGGUUCAAGCUGGACUUGCUCAAGGUCAUGUUAAAGCUGUUGUGAGUGUAAGUCCUGAUAAUCAGCUGUUCAGAGGAGAGACUGUGACUCUCAGAUGUGACAUACAGGGAGAAGGAGACACUGGGUGGACAUACAGCUGGUAUAAGAAUAACUACAGUCUCUACCCACACACCACAUACAAUCCAUACAUGAUCAGCUCUGUUACACAGUAUUACAGUGGUACAUACACCUGCAGCGGGUACAGGGGAAGAGACUCUCAGAGCUCAGAGAUCAGUAAUGCUGUUACAUUAACUGUGUCAGGUGAGUUUGGACUGUGAAUUCAGCCAAUAGACAUUCAUAGCAAGGUUGUUAUUGUGUGUGCGUGAUUUUAAACACCCAGGAUUUUAUAUUUGCUGUGUUACAGAGAGAGCCCAGGCAGU